rnacentral:rRNA from 1 species
GAGCGGCCGAUAUCAGAUUAGCUAGUUGGUGAGGUAAAGGCUCACCAAGGCGACGAUCUGUAGCGGGUCUGAGAGGAUGAUCCGCCACACUGGAACUGAGACACGGUCCAGACUCCUACGGGAGGCAGCAGUGGGGAAUUUUGGACAAUGGGGGCAACCCUGAUCCAGCCAUGCCGCGUGAGUGAAGAAGGCCUUCGGGUUGUAAAGCUCUUUCGGCCGGGAAGAAAUCGUAUGGGUUAAUACCCGGUGCGGAUGACGGUACCGGCAUAAGAAGCACCGGCUAACUACGUGCCAGCAGCCGCGGUAAUACGUAGGGUGCGAGCGUUAAUCGGAAUUACUGGGCGUAAAGCGUGCGCAGGCGGUUUUGUAAGACAGGCGUGAAAUCCCCGGGCUCAACCUGGGAACU